UGAGGGAAUAUUUGGGUCAAUGGGCGAAAGCCUGAACCAGCCAAGUAGCGUGCAGGAUGACGGCCCUAUGGGUUGUAAACUGCUUUUAGGCGGGGGUAAAGGGGCGGACGCGUUCCGCCUUUGCAAGUACCGCGCGAAUAAGGACCGGCUAAUUCCGUGCCAGCAGCCGCGGUAAUACGGAAGGUCCGGGCGUUAUCCGGAUUCAUUGGGUUUAAAGGGAGCGCAGGCCGCCCCUUAAGCGUGUUGUGAAAUGCCGCGGCUCAACCGUGGCACUGCAGCGCGAACUGGGGGGCUUGAGUGCGCGCAGCGCAGGCGGAACUCGUGGUGUAGCGGUGAAAUGCUUAGAUAUCACGAAGAACUCCGAUCGCGAAGGCAGCCUGCGGGAGCGCAACUGACGCUGAGGCUCGAAAGUGCGGGGUAUCGAACA
rnacentral:rRNA from 1 species